GUGUGACUGCGUACCUUUUGUAUAAUGGGUCAGCGACUUAUAUUCUGUAGCAAGGUUAACCGAAUAGGGGAGCCGAAGGGAAACCGAGUCUUAACUGGGCGUUAAGUUGCAGGGUAUAGACCCGAAACCCGGUGAUCUAGCCAUGGGCAGGUUGAAGGUUGGGUAACACUAACUGGAGGACCGAACCGACUAAUGUUGAAAAAUUAGCGGAUGACUUGUGGCUGGGGGUGAAAGGCCAAUCAAACCGGGAGAUAGCUGGUUCUCCCCGAAAGCUAUUUAGGUAGCGCCUCGUGAAUUCAUCUCCGGGGGUAGAGCACUGUUUCGGCAAGGGGGUCAUCCCGACUUACCAACCCGAUGCAAACUGCGAAUACCGGAGAAUGUUAUCACGGGAGACACACGGCGGGUGCUAACGUCCGUCGUGAAGAGGGAAACAACCCAGACCGCCAGCUAAGGUCCCAAAGUCAUGGUUAAGUGGGAAACGAUGUGGGAAGGCCCAGACAGCCAGGAUGUUGGCUUAGAAGCAGCCAUCAUUUAAAGAAAGCGUAAUAGCUCACUGGUCGAGUCGGCCUGCGCGGAAGAUGUAACGGGGCUAAACCAUGCACCGAAGCUGCGGCAGCGACGCUUAUGCGUUGUUGGGUAGGGGAGCGUUCUGUAAGCCUGCGAAGGUGUGCUGUGAGGCAUGCUGGAGGUAUCAGAAGUGCGAAUGCUGACAUAAGUAACGAUAAAGCGGGUGAAAAGCCCGCUCGCCGGAAGACCAAGGGUUCCUGUCCAACGUUAAUCGGGGCAGGGUGAGUCGACCCCUAAGGCGAGGCCGAAAGGCGUAGUCGAUGGGAAACAGGUUAAUAUUCCUGUACUUGGUGUUACUGCGAAGGGGGGACGGAGAAGGCUAUGUUGGCCGGGCGACGGUUGUCCCGGUUUAAGCGUGUAGGCUGGUUUUCCAGGCAAAUCCGGAAAAUCAAGGCUGAGGCGUGAUGACGAGGCACUACGGUGCUGAAGCAACAAAUGCCCUGCUUCCAGGAAAAGCCUCUAAGCAUCAGGUAACAUCAAAUCGUACCCCAAACCGACACAGGUGGUCAGGUAGAGAAUACCAAGGCGCUUGAGAGAACUCGGGUGAAGGAACUAGGCAAAAUGGUGCCGUAACUUCGGGAGAAGGCACGCUGAUAUGUAGGUGAAGCGACUUGCUCGUGGAGCUGAAAUCAGUCGAAGAUACCAGCUGGCUGCAACUGUUUAUUAAAAACACAGCACUGUGCAAACACGAAAGUGGACGUAUACGGUGUGACGCCUGCCCGGUGCCGGAAGGUUAAUUGAUGGGGUCAGCGCAAGCGAAGCUCUUGAUCGAAGCCCCGGUAAACGGCGGCCGUAACUAUAACGGUCCUAAGGUAGCGAAAUUCCUUGUCGGGUAAGUUCCGACCUGCACGAAUGGCGUAAUGAUGGCCAGGCUGUCUCCACCCGAGACUCAGUGAAAUUGAACUCGCUGUGAAGAUGCAGUGUACCCGCGGCAAGACGGAAAGACCCCGUGAACCUUUACUAUAGCUUGACACUGAACAUUGAGCCUUGAUGUGUAGGAUAGGUGGGAGGCUUUGAAGUGUGGACGCCAGUCUGCAUGGAGCCGACCUUGAAAUACCACCCUUUAAUGUUUGA
rnacentral:rRNA from 1 species